GUGCCAGCAGCCGCGGUAAUACGUAGGUGGCAAGCGUUGUCCGGAAUUAUUGGGCGUAAAGCGCGCGCAGGUGGUUUCUUAAGUCUGAUGUGAAAGCCCACGGCUUAACCGUGGAGGGUCAUUGGAAACUGGGAGACUUGAGUGCAGAAGAGGAAAGUGGAAUUCCAAGUGUAGCGUUGAAAGGCGUAGAGAUUUGAAGGAACUGCAGUGGCGAAGGCGAGUUUCUGGU
rnacentral:rRNA from 1 species